AAUGGUUCUGCUAUCUUCUCUUUGCAGGAUUGUUCAAGUGGAUCUGAAGUUCCCUCCUAGACCAAUUGUCUCAUCUGCUGCAAAGGACCUUAUAAGUCAGGUGAUUUUGGCUACUAUGACCUACAGUAUGCAAUUAAUCAGUUCAAGUAUUAUGACCUACAGUAUGCAAUUAAUCAGUUCAAGUAUUUGGUAGUAUUCCAUUUUUUCUUCAAAAUGGAAGGGUUAUUAGUAGUAAUGCCAGAUUAUAAAAAAUUUCUUAUAAAUGCAGAUGCUUGUCAAGGAUUCUUCUAACCGCC
rnacentral:lncRNA from 1 species